CCUACGGGUGGCAGCAGUGAGGAAUAUUGGUCAAUGGGCGCUAGCCUGAACCAGCCAAGUAGCGUGAAGGAUGACUGCCCUAUGGGUUGUAAACUUCUUUUAUAUGGGAAUAAAGUGCAGUAUGUAUACUGCUUUGCAUGUACCUUAUGAAUAAGGAUCGGCUAACUCCGUGCCAGCCGCCGCGGUAAUACGGAGGAUCCGAGCGUUAUCCGGAUUUUUUGGGUUUAAAGGGAGCGUAGGAGGGUUGUUAAGUCAGUUGUGAAAGUUUGCGGCUCAACCGUAAAAUUGCAGUUGCUACUGGCAUCCUGGAGUACAGUAGAGGUAGGCGGAAUUCGUGGUGUAGCGGUGAAAUGCUUAGAUAUCACGAAGAACUCCGAUUGCGAAGGCAGCCUGCUGGACUGUAACUGACGCUGAUGCUCGAAAGUGUGGGUAUCAAACAGGAUUAGAUACCCGAGUAGUC
rnacentral:rRNA from 1 species